rnacentral:rRNA from 1 species
UACGGAAGGCAGCAGUGGGGAAUAUUGCACAAUGGGCGAAAGCCUGAUGCAGCUAUGCCGCGUGUAUGAAGAAGGCCUUAGGGUUGUAAAGUACUUUCAUCGGGGAGGAAAAACAAAACUAAUAAUUUUAUUUCUUGACGUUACCCGAAAAAGAAGCACCGGCUAACUCCGUGCCAGCAGCCGCGGUAAUACGGAGGGUGCUAGCGUUAAUCAGAAUUACUGGGCGUAAAGAGCACGUAGGUGGUUUUUUAAGUCAGAUGUGAAAUCCCUGGGCUUAACCUAGGAACUGCAUUUUGAAACUGAAAUACUAGAGUAUCGUAGAGGGAGGUAGAAUUCUAGGUGUAGCGGUGAAAUGCGUAGAUAUCUGGAGGAAUACCUGUGGCGAAAGCGGCCUCCUAAACGAAUACUGACACUGAGGUGCGAAAGCGUGGGGAGCAAAACAGGGAUUAGAUACC